CCCGUUCCCAUCCCGAACACGGUCGUUAAGCUCUUCAGCGCCGAUGGUAAUUGGGGGCUUCCCCCUGUGAGAGUAGGACGUCGCCAGGC
rnacentral:rRNA from 1 species